GAUGAACGCUGGCGGCGUGCCUAAUACAUGCAAGUCGAGCGAACGGACGAGAAGCUUGCUUCUCUGAUGUUAGCGGCGGACGGGUGAGUAACACGUGGAUAACCUACCUAUAAGACUGGGAUAACUUCGGGAAACCGUAGCUAAUACCGGAUAAUAUUUUGAACCGCAUGGUUCAAAAGUGAAAGACGGUCUUGCUGUCACUUAUAGAUGGAUCCGCGCUGCAUUAGCUAGUUGGUAAGGUAACGGCUUACCAAGGCAACGAUGCAUAGCGGACCUGAGAGGGUGAUCGGCCACACUGGAACUGAGACACGGUCCAGACUCCUACGGGAGGCAGCAGUAGGGAAUCUUCCGCAAUGGGCGAAAGCCUGACGGAGCAACGCCGCGUGAGUGAUGAAGGUCUUCGGAUCGUAAAACUCUGUUAUUAGGGAAGAACAUAUGUGUAAGUAACUGUGCACAUCUUGACGGUACCUAAUCAGAAAGCCACGGCUAACUACGUG
rnacentral:rRNA from 1 species